AAGCGUGAAGGCUGCAAAGAUCGAGAACCUCCCAGCUGAGAGCCAUAAUCAAUUAACUGCACCUCCCCAGCUCCUAGAAGAUGAUGAGCAGCUGUGCCUGCAAUGCUCAGUCCCUGGUUACCUGUUUCACCCCACCAGCUCCAAUGACUGGAAAAGGCAUAAAGUUCUGAUUUUCACACAAGCAAACUCACCACAGUCCUGCUCAGAGGCACAGCGCAGCACCAGGACUUGUCAGUGCCUUUCAGAUAAGCGCAGCAGAGGGCUCGUGGUCCCAAAUGCACAUCCUCAGAAGGGAAGGUCCAUCCCAGCCCAGGUUAAGAGGAGGGAGAAGGAAGCAGAGCAGUGCCCAGCAAACCACCCAGCAGAAGGGAUCUGCAGAACUUUACAUGAAGUCGAACUUCACUUCCCUUGUCAGCCUGCUCGGAGUGACUCACUGGAGAGGGUCAGAGUUAUAGGGCAGAAGUGACUCUUUUGGGCAUCUCUCCUUUGAAGAUACUGCAGAAGAGCAAGUAUGCUUAACACCAAACCAGAUUUUUUACUGUUAUUGAAGACAGGGUAUUUUGCUUGAAGAAUUGUGAUGGCACAGGGACACACAGUGUCUCUAAAGACCAAAAGUAAUGUUUGUUACUUUUCCUGGAGGGAGAGGCUCCCUGUAUCCUAACCUGCCUGUGUUCCCUCAUCCCUUCCCCACUCCAUCCCACUUUCAGUCUCACCUGCAAUUCCUGAUGGCUAUUUCUCAUCAGAGCCUCUGAGUUUGCCAAACUCUGCAUUGCUGGUGUGAUGUACACAAAGACUUAUUUCAGAUAAUUUUCUUUGUUCAAGGAGUAAUUUGCGAUUUAUACCCUGAUGUCCAUAAAUAAAUGGCCACAAAGUCUGUGGUGUGUCCAGUGGGCCCGGGGGGAUUGCUGUCUGCAGUGAGCUCCUGCAGGGCACUCGGCGAGUGCCUUUUCCAUCCACACAAGGGCUGACGUGGAGGUACAUCAAAGAAAACAAUGAAUGCCUCCUGCUCUGACCUACAUAUUUCAUUCUGAGAGACUCAACUACAUUUGCUGGAACA